rnacentral:lncRNA from 1 species
GUGGAUUGAUGAGUUCCCAGACCAGCCAAAGACAUCCUGCGAUUCAGGGGAGCAAGACAGGUGCGCCUUCCCUAAUGAGCCAGGCCAGAUGGAGUGGCUGUCGGGCCAAUGCUCCCCCCGAAGUGCAAAAAUGUACCUCUUAUGCCAAGGAGCCUUGGUGCCAAAUGGAAGGGGAGGGAAGAGAAGAGCACGCGACUGCGAGCUGAAAGAGGAGCUGUUAGCCACCUCGCUGCACUUGUUGUUGACUUUGAACUCCUCCACCUAAGGCCGGCUGAUGAGCUGUGGGCUUCCCCGAGGAUGUGGAGAGAGGUGCUUGGUCUGCCGUGAUCUGUCCCUGGCCCAGAAGGACACUUGGAUGACUGGAGCGUGCCAGAGCCAGGUGAAUGAUGGCCAGGACUUCCCAGGCUAAGAGGCUGCUGGCAGACACUGAGCUGCUGCUCUCGGCUUCCUGCGGCCUGCACCUGCCUGGCUAAUUGCUCCUGGGUGGAAGAUGUGCCUUGUUUAGAGUGCAAGCGGUGGAGUCAGGAGCUCAAGGUAAAGUGCAACACAACAAAACCAAUGUAAAAAAGAACUGUAAGGAUGUGCUCGCACGGGCAGAUCUCUUAACGCUACGGUUAACGAUAGGCUGAGACCUACGCUGUGUAGGCAGGAUGCAGGAAAAGGCCGCUGUCUGCAGGAACAGUGGGAUAUUUGUCAGCCCAGGGAGGCAGCAGGAUGAUCUUCUUCCCGCAAAACUCAGCAAACAUGAAACAGCGGUGGAGACCUCCUGCUGACCCCAGCUUUGCAUUUCCUCCUGAGAACAGCGCGGGAGGAGCGCCAGGGAGGGCCGGGAUGCACGCACUGCCCCGCGCCUCCUGGCUGCCUGGUGCUACCCCAGAGCGAGGAGCAGGCAGGAGGACUCUGGUCCCGCUGUGCUGCCGAGGCAAAGGAGCAGGGCCUGGGCUCAGAUUUUGGCUCCGGUGCCUGCACAUCGCUCCUUGGAUGAGGGCACCCAAGUGUGGGCAGUCCCAGAGUGCAAGCUCCCGAUGGAGCCAGACCCUUGCUCACCGAGCAGCCGGUGCUGGGUCGUUGAGUCGGUUCUGCAGCUCUUGGCAGCAAAAACCCAAACACGGGACUGUGCUGGAGAAACCUUUGAUCAUGCACACGGAGCUCUUUACCAGUGAGUGUUGGGGACGGGGACAACAUGGAUUUGAGGCGCUGCAAGUGCUGAUUUAUUUUCCAGACUUGUUGGAGACUGUAAUGUCCAAGACUGCAGAGGAAGCUGGUGGCAUCCUGGCCUGGGUGCUAGAAAUUAUAUAG